GUCCCCUUGGCCUAAUGGCUAAGGCGUUUGACUUCUAUCAAAUGAAAUCAAAAGAUUGCCGGUUCGAGUCCGGCAGGGGAUG
rnacentral:tRNA from 1 species